rnacentral:rRNA from 1 species
GACGAACGCUGGCGGCGUGCUUAACACAUGCAAGUCGAGCGGUAAGGCCCUUUCGGGGGUACACGAGCGGCGAACGGGUGAGUAACACGUGGGUGACCUGCCUUCAGCUCUGGGAUAAGCCCGGGAAACUGGGUCUAAUACUGGAUAUUACUCUGCGGUGCAUGCCGUGGGGUGGAAAGCCUUGUGCGGCUGGAGAUGGGCCCGCGGCCUAUCAGCUUGUUGGUGGGGUGAUGGCCUACCAAGGCGA